AAAGUGUGUUUGUUGUUGGUAUGUCCCUCAAUCACGUCGCAACGGAGCAACAGAUCGACGUGAUGUUUUGUGUGGGUAUAGUUAAAGGCCUGGAAAGUCACAUAGGCCACUUAUUAUCCCAGAAAAUCAAAGAGUUCCCACGGGAUUUUUAAACCUAAAUCCGCGCGGACGAAGUCACGGGCAUCGGCUAGUUUGUUAUAAAUAAA